ACGGGAGGCAGCAGUGAGGAAUAUUGGUCAAUGGACGGAAGUCUGACGGAGCGACGCCGCGUGGACGAUGAAGGUCGGAAGAUUGUAAAAUCCUUUUAUAACUGAGGAAUAAGUAUGGUGAGAGAAACGCCAUAUGGUGACUGUAGGUUAUGAAUAAGCAACGGCUAAUUACGUGCCAGCAGCCGCGGUAACACGUAAGUUGCGAGCGUUGUUCGGAAUUAUUGGGCGUAAAGGGCAUGUAGGCGGUUUUGCAAGCUUGGUGUGAAAUUCCGGAGCUCAACUCCGGAACUGCGUUGAGAACUGCAUAACUAGAGUCACUGAGGGGCAAUCAGAAUUCCUGGUGUAGGGGUGAAAUCUGUAGAUAUCAGGAAGAAUACCAAUGGCGAAGGCAGGUUACCAGCAGAUGACUGACGCUGAGGUGCGAAGGUGCGGGGAGCAAACAGGAUUAGAUACCCUGGUA
rnacentral:rRNA from 1 species